GACGAACGCUGGCGGCGUGCCUAAUACAUGCAAGUUGAGCGCUGACGGUUGUUACUUGUACCAACUGGAUGAGCAGCGAACGGGUGAGUAACGCGUGGGGAAUCUGCCUUUGAGCGGGGGACAACAUUUGUAAACGAAUGCUAAUACCGCAUAAAAACUUUAAACACAAGUUUUAAGUUUUAAAGAUGCAAUUGCAUCACUCAAAGAUGAUCCCGCGUUGUAUUAGCUAGUUGGUGAGGUAAAGGCUCACCAAGGCGAUGAUACAUAGCCGACCUGAGAGGGUGAUCGGCCACAUUGGGACUGAGACACGGCCCAAACUCCUACGGGAGGCAGCAGUAGGGAAUCUUCGGCAAUGGACGAAAGUCUGACCGAGCAACGCCGCGUGAGUGAAGAAGGUUUUCGGAUCGUAAAACUCUGUUGGUAGAGAAGAACGUUGGUGAGAGUGGAAAGCUCAUCAAGUGACGGUAACUACCCAGAAAGGGACGGCUAACUACGUG
rnacentral:rRNA from 1 species